GUGAGACGGCCGUUGGUUUGGAAGGAGCAGAUUCAAAUUCCAGUGGAGCAACGGCAGAAAUCCGAGGAAACAUCAUAUUCGACGGGUUUCCUUCAACAACGUUACGAGUCAUCAGAGGAGGAGCCUAGUGAAUAAGUGUGAGUGUGAAGCUGUAGGCCUGGAGACCCAACUGCACGCUCAGACCUGCAAGCUCAGACCUGCACUUCUAGACCCAUCGUUUUCUCAGACAGUACCACCUGCUGUUGGGUUGGGGGAGGCGACAGCGACGGAGGCCCAACUGCACGCUCAGACCAGCACUUUCUAGCAAGCAGCAACAUCAAACAUGUGCUGCUUGCCUCCUCUGUCCAUUUUCCAUCAGUCUACACAGCAAAUAAGCAGAGCAGGUUGCACUGAGGUAUGCAAGUACUGUACAUUUUGACAGACAGUUAAAAUGUUCAUUGUAAAUUUAGACCAAAUCAAUCAAACACAGAUUUGAAACCACUUUAGCUAUUGUUGGUAUAAAGUUGUAAAAUUACUUUCAAGAUGGAUUUACAAACACCAGAAACACAAGCUAUUGACCAUGCUCAUGACUUUAAUAACAUUUAAACUUUCUAUUGUUUACCAUAUUCAUGGCAAAUUGUUGACUAUUAAAUGAUACGGUAAGAAAAUUAAACAAUAAAUCACUGUAAAAAUAAAUAUCCUUCAGAACACCAAAUUUAACAAUAACAAGCACUCAUUAAGCAAAAGACAGACUGGUCAAAGAAACGUGAAUAAUGAAUAAAAAAAAUCUAGUAAAUCAAUAC
rnacentral:lncRNA from 1 species